ACACAAGCGGGCUUGCUCGCGAAUGCGGUGUGUCAGACAACACUUCUGUCUACUGACACUCCCACUUCGCGAGCAAGCCCGCUCCCAC
rnacentral:misc_RNA from 1 species